GAUGAACGCUGGCGGCGUGCCUAAUACAUGCAAGUCGAGCGAACAGACGAGGAGCUUGCUCCUCUGACGUUAGCGGCGGACGGGUGAGUAACACGUGGAUAACCUACCUAUAAGACUGGGAUAACUUCGGGAAACCGGAGCUAAUACCGGAUAAUAUAUUGAACCGCAUGGUUCAAUAGUGAAAGACGGUUUUGCUGUCACUUAUAGAUGGAUCCGCGCCGCAUUAGCUAGUUGGUAAGGUAGCGGCUUACCAAGGCGACGAUGCGUAGCCGACCUGAGAGGGUGAUCGGCCACACUGGAACUGAGACACGGUCCAGACUCCUACGGGAGGCAGCAGUAGGGAAUCUUCCGCAAUGGGCGAAAGCCUGACGGAGCAACGCCGCGUGAGUGAUGAAGGCCUUCGGAUCGUAAAACUCUGUUAUUAGGGAAGAACAUAUGUGUAAGUAACUGUGCACAUCUUGACGGUACCUAAUCAGAAAGCCACGGCUAACUACGUG
rnacentral:rRNA from 1 species